rnacentral:misc_RNA from 1 species
AAGUCGUAACAAGGUUUCCGUAGGUGAACCUGCGGAAGGAUCAUUACCGAUUCAAAUACCCAACCCCAUGUGAACUGUUGUAGUCGUCUUUGGGGGGGACCUGAGGCUAAAGGCCUGGUUCCUUUCUCUCUGUGUUCCCCCCACGUUUAUUGAACCACUAUGGUCUUUCGUUGGAAUAUCUUUUAUUACUAAUAAUAAAAGACAACUUUUAACGGUGGAUCUCUUGGCUCGUG